rnacentral:misc_RNA from 1 species
AAACAAUUAGUCAAUUUACUCGAAUUUAAAAGCUUCAUUAACUCCAUAAGCUAGUUUAAGUCACCUACUGCUAAAUUAAGUGUUGGACGACUGACAAUACCAAAAUUAUAUACGAAACAGACUAAGAAUUCAAGACUUUUAAUAUUUCUACGUACAAGCAUCGGCACACUAUGUCAGUCUACUUUCUAUUAAGAACAUUUAAGAAACAUGUCUUCUGAAGAAUCUGUUUUGCAUUUAAAUCAAAAUCACAAUGUAAAGAAAAGAGGACUAAAUCUGAUGUAAAGAAGAGAUCUAAAAUCUGAUGUUAAAAGUAUUCUAUCUUUGGAAAAAAUAACUGUUUAACAACUUACGUAUUUUGAUAUGAAAUAAUAUUUAAUUUAUCCAAUUUAUGUAAGUAAAUUAAUUUACAGUAGACUCUCUGUAAUCCGACAUAUAUCAGUCUAGCAGGUGUCGGAUUACAGCAGAUUAUUGGAUUUUGUGUGUAUGUUUUACUGGGCGGUUAAAAAAACAUUCUUGGUUCAUGAAAUAGUUUAUCAUAUUUAUGGUAAUGUUAUCAUGUUUUAUUUGCUAUUCAAAAACAAAUAUAUUAUUAGAUAAAAUAAAUUGUCAUGUAGAAAUUAAUGCGAAUACUGUUUCUGAUAAUUAUAGACAUUUUUUUCUCAUAUUUGAAAAGAAAACUUAUGUGACCACAAUAUUAUAAUAAUGAAUCAUGGCUGUUUGUCAUGACAGCUUACAGGAUGGCAUGUAGUAAUUGUAACUUAAAUUAGCGAGUAAAAACAUUUGUCUUAUGUAAUUUUUUAGGUUAUGAUUCUCAUUUCCGAUGUGUACUGUAAUGUAUAAAUUAAGACAGUAUUAUAGAAAUUUCAUAACCUUUUUGGAAAAAUGUUGUAAAUAUGCUGUCUGUGGAUGAUGAUUAUAAUAAUUUGUUUAUACAAACCAAUACUAAAUAUGUCAAAUCUGAAGAGGAGCCAAAUAAGUGUUGGGCUUGAAAUGCAUUAAUAAAAAAUAGUCUUUAAGAAUUGUCUUCUGAGUAAUCAGUCUUGUGUUAAAAUACAUCUGAUGAGAACCAUUCCCUGAUAUGUCUUGUAUCAUAUGAGAUUCAUUUAAUUCUUAUAACUAUACUUAAUACUGAUUCAGUGAUUCAGCCAAUAAAUACAUGAACAAGUUAUUUGGGGUUAUGCAAUAUAUAUAUUGGUUUUUGUGACUGUUUUUUUUUUUUUUUUAAUCAAUUUUCUCAGUUGUGAGUGGUUGUGUUUCAAAAAGGAAUUUAUUUUUCCACAUUCUUAUUUUAAAAAUGGAAAUAUAUUAUUGUAUAUGAAACAUGUUUACUGUCGAAAAAAUGUUUUUAUACUGAAUUAUGAGGGGGAAAAUAUUAUGUGAGAUGAUUAUAAUCUUGAUAAAUUAAUUUGGAAAAAAUUAUUUAAAAUUAAAUCAAUAUGUAGAUACAUUAUUAUUAGCUAAUAUAAUAGUUUUCUGAAAUUUUGUAAUAUAAGUUCAAAAUACUGUAAUUGAGAUCCAGUAUAUUUCAUAACCACUCCAGAUUUAACGUGGAAUUGUGGAUUAAAAAUGAUGAAAAUUCAAUUAGAAUUUUAAUUGUAAUAUUAGCUGUCCACAAAAAAAGUGAUCAACUUUUUUGUGGUUUUUUUAAUUAAUUAGAAUUAUGUAAUGAUAUUAAUAUGUAUUUGUUUAUUUAAAGUGGCGUUAGAGGAGGAAUCAGUUUAGUAGGUAAAAUAUUUGUAAAGGAAAAUCAUCUUUUAAUUCCAGAAACUUAUGAUAAAAAUCAACUUCAUAAUUAUAUUCUUUACAGAUUUGUAAUGAGUUUUUGUUUACCAAUAAAUACUUUCAUGUGGUUAUCUGAAGAUGAAAUAAAUGCAUUAGUUAGCCUUAAUACUCGGAUAAAAAUAGCAUUGUUAU